rnacentral:lncRNA from 1 species
CUAUCAAUAUUGACAAUUCUCUUUCUAUAUACUUGUUUUCUUCUUUUAUCUGAUUAUUUCUUGCAUUGUUAGUCAAUUUACAAUUUUAACUGUUUCAAAACAAAAAUUCCAAGUUUAAUUAGGUAAGGAUCUCGCCGCAAUUUUCGCUUAAUACAUUCAAAUCAUAUUUGAUUGGUUUGUACCAAUUCCAAGCACUCUUUAUGAUCUUAUCACUGAAAAUCUCAAUUUCAUUUUUC